GGGAAUAUAGCUCAGCAACAAAGUGCCUGCUUGGCAAGCACAAAGUCCUGAGUUCAAUCCCCAGUAUCCUCC
rnacentral:tRNA from 1 species